rnacentral:rRNA from 1 species
UACGAAGGGGGCUAGCGUUGUUCGGAUUUACUGGGCGUAAAGCGCACGUAGGCGGAUUGUUAAGUCAGGGGUGAAAUCCCGGAGCUCAACUCCGGAACUGCCUUUGAUACUGGCAAUCUAGAGUCCGGAAGAGGUGAGUGGAACUCCUAGUGUAGAGGUGGAAUUCGUAGAUAUUAGGAAGAACACCAGUGGCGAGGGGCGGCUCACUGGUCCGGUACUGACGCUGAGGUGCGAAAGCGUGGGAGCAAACAGG